CAGUCGCCGCGGGAAUACGAAGGGUGCAAGCGUUAAUCGGAAUUACUGGGCGUAAAGCGUGCGUAGGCGGUUUGUUAAGUCUGCUGUGAAAUCCCCGGGCUCAACCUGGGAAUGGCAGUGGAUACUGGCAAGCUAGAGUGUGUCAGAGGAUGGUGGAAUUCCCGGUGUAGCGGUGAUAUGCGUAGAGAUCGGGAGGAACAUCAGUGGCGAAGGCGGCCAUCUGGGACAACACUGACGCUGAGGCACGAAAGCGUGGGGAGCAAACAGGAUUAGAGACCCCUGUAGUCCCUGUCUCUUAUAC
rnacentral:rRNA from 1 species